GACGAACGCUGGCGGCGUGCUUAACACAUGCAAGUCGAACGGAAAGGCCCUGCUUUUGUGGGGUGCUCGAGUGGCGAACGGGUGAGUAACACGUGAGUAACCUGCCCUUGACUUUGGGGUAACUUCAGGAAACUGGGGCUAAUACCGGAUAGGAGCUCCUGCUGCAGGGAGGGGGUUGGAAAGUUUCGGCGGGUGGGGAUGGACUCGCGGCUUAUGAGCUUGUUGGUGGGGUAGGGGCUUACCCAGGCUUUGGCGGGUAGCCGGCCUGAGAGGGUGACCGGCCACAUUGGGACUGCGAUACGGCCCAGACUCCUACGGGAGGCAGCAGUGGGGAAUAUUGCACAAUGGGCGGAAGCCUGAUGCAGCAACGCCGCGUGCGGGAUGACGGCCUUCGGGUUGUAAACCGCUUUCGCCUGUGACGAAGCGUGAGUGACGGUAAUGGGUAAAGAAGCACCGGCUAACUACGUG
rnacentral:rRNA from 1 species